GUCCACGCCGUAACGAUGAACGCUAGCCGUUGGUAGCUUGCUAUUCAGUGGCGCAGCUAACGCAUUAAGCGUUCCGCCUGGGGAGUACGGCCGCAAGGUUGAACUCAAGGAAUUGACGGGGCCCGCACAAGCCGUGGAGCAUGUGGUUUAAUUCGACGCAACGCGCAGAACCUUACCAGGGUUUGACAUCCUGAGACCGCCCUCUAAUAGGGGUUUUCCCCGCAAGGGACUCAGAGACAGGUGCUGCAUGGCUGUCGU
rnacentral:rRNA from 1 species